GAGUUUGAUCCUGGCUCAGGGUGAACGCUGGCGGUGCGUCUAAUGCAUGCAAGUCGAGCUGAGAACCUCGGGUUCUGCCCGGGGGGAAAGCGGCUGAACGGCUGAGUAACUGCGUGAGUAACCUGUCCCUGAGUGGGGUAUAACCUGGAGAGAUCCAGGCUAAUCCCGCAUACGAUCCCCGGACCCUGGUCUUGGGAGGAAACCCGCUUGCGGGGCUCUAGGAGGGGCUCGCGUUCUAUCAGGUAGUUGGUGGGGUAACGGCUCACCAAGCCGAAGACGGAUAGCUGGUCUGAGAAGAUGGUCAGCCAGAGGGAGACUGAGACACGGUUCCCACUCCUACGGGAGGCAGCAGCAAAGAAUUUUGGGCAAUGGGCGAAAGCCUGACCCAGCGACACCGCGUGGGGGAUGAAGGCCCUAGGGUCGUAAACCCCUUUUUCAAGGGAAGAGUAAGGACGGUACCUUGAGAAUAAGCCCCGGCUAACUACGUGCCAGCAGCCGCGGUAACACGUAGGGGGCAAGCGUUGUCCGGAUUUAUUGGGCGUAAAGAGCUCGUAGGCGGUUGCGUAAGUCGGAUGUGAAAACUCAGGGCUCAACCCGGAGACGCCAUUCGAUACUGCGCUGACUAGAGUCCGGUAGGGGAGCAUGGAAUUCCUGGUGUAGCAGGUGAAAUGCGCAGAUAUCAGGAGGAACACCAGUGGCGAAGGCGGUGCUCUGGGCCAGGUACUGACCGCUGAGGAGCGAAAGCGUGGGUAGCGAACAGGAUUAGAUACCCUGGUAGUC
rnacentral:rRNA from 1 species